CUUCCCUUGUACUUGCUCUCACUGCUGAAAUUUUAUAAAGCAGUAUUAUUAAUUGAAGCAAUUAGUGCUGGGGAUAUCAGCACAGCCACGACACAGGGCUGCAGCCGUGCAAGGCGAGGCACUCUCCUUGGCUUUCUUGGGACCCCUUUUCCUCCCUUGCUCUGUCCCCUUCUGUGCCCUCCUCAACUCUCUGGUUUCUACCCUGCCCCCCACUUUCCCCUGUCUUUUCUUCUGGCUCUCUCUCAAUAUCCCCUGGUCUCUGAGAGACCCUGAGAACCCGAUACCUUUGCCAGGCUGCAAUCAUUCACCAUCUCUGACCACUCCCCAGCCUGGUGGACAGACAGACAGACAGACAGAUGUAAAGACUGUGUUCCUGUGGCUGACUGCUGCCUGGAGUCAUGGCCUGGCUGAAUUAGGAUGGAAGAGCAUCGUUCAUGGUUCUUAGGAAAUUUGCACUCCAGGCUGGAAUUCUAGGCCCUCCAGGUUUGGGGGAAUGGGGCUGAGCUAACAUCCAACCUAAGGACAAGACCAUCCCAGCUGAUAUCAAAGCAGUUUGGAAAGCAUGUGAGAAAACUCCAGAUAGAACAAGGUCCAUCCUGGGCCUCAUUUUCUUCAUCUGUAAUGUGAGGAAGAAAGAAGAGAGAGGCUGAGGAUGAACCUCUCUGACUUCAUUGUUUCCAUCCUGGGAAUGCUGAGUGACCAGUCCCCUUCAGCCACAAGCUAUAGUCAAAGUUCCUGAGAGAAGCAAAGUUGCUGCGAUGUGUGAUGUUACCCUCCUGUAAAUGACAGAAUCCUGUUCAGAGGCAGCACCCCGCAGGAGGAGUUAGCACCGCGCAGACGUGAUGCAGCAUUAUAACGAUGCCCUACUUACCAGUUCCUGUUUUUUAUGACUGAAUGGAUGCUUGGACCUGCUUGGGGCUAUAUAAAGGGUUUUCCUGCCCUUGCCACACUCAGCCUGUCUUUGCCAAGACAAUUCCCAGGAGGGACUUAUACCUGUGAACAGGAACUGACAAAGAAGCAACUCAGCCCAAAAGUUUCCCAGGCUCCUGGGCUGUAGUAUGACCACCCUGUGACUCAUUUGGAUAAAGUAGGGCUCAACAGAUAUUUAUCAAAUGAACAAAUGAAUGAGAGGGUGGGUGAAUGAGUGUUUCCAUGAGUGGGCAGCCACUCCCUCCGGGAAUGAGAGUGCUUCCUACUCCAGAAUGUUGAGUGCUUUCGAAGGAAGUCCUCUGGGGCUUUCCUGAUGAGUGCUCCAUGAAGAAGCCACAGUUGUCUCCUCAAUUCAUUGUGGGGAGUCUUAGAUUUCUUUGGAACCCUAAAUGCUAAACUUCCUACUGGUAUAUAAUAGCUGCUCAAUAAAUGUGUGUUGAUGCAUUGUUUCUCCGGUGUGAGAAACUGAAAGUGGAAAUAAAGACUAAAAUAAAUAAAUAAAUACAUACAUACAUACAUAAAUAUGUGUUGAAUUGAAGGGGGAGCUAGAAAGAGAAAGAAG
rnacentral:lncRNA from 1 species